rnacentral:tRNA from 1 species
UCCUCGAUAGCUCAACGGUAGAGCAAUCGGCUGUUAACCGAUGGGUUACAGGUUCGAAUCCUGUUCGAGGAG